CAGAGUAGAGUAGAGCGGUGAGUCCUGGGGGUUACCUCCUCUCCGACGUCUGCUCCCGUCCGGUCUCUUCUCCUCUCCUUAUCUAGGGUCUGCUCUGAUUACCAGAUAGGCCGCAGGUGUGACCAGUGCCACGUUCCCAGUGGCUGGAGCACCUGCACAGGAUAAUAAAUCCCCCUUAUCACCUCCCCCAACCGGAGCUUGGGGCUCCGCCCCAAGUGCUUUGUUCCUCCCCCUGGUUUGCCACAAUGUGAAUAUAAAAGUAAUUAGGUAGGCAGUGGAAAAACAAGAGGCACACCAGACUGAUUUAGAUUACCUUGAAUUAUAAGACAACAAUUGUAAAUACACGGCCAGAUGUAUUGACACACUUGACCGCAUUUCUAAGUACAGACACUGAAUGCCGGUUUAAAGGUCAAACCCGCUGCACACGACUGGAUGAAAACUCUUCCUUGAAUGGCACAUUGGAUAUAUUGUGUUGGGUCCGUUGGAUGAGGAAAGUAUCUGCCUGCCUUUCCAUAACAGAGGUGUGCAAAUUAUUUAGUAGGUGGCUCUGGGUGGGUGUUAGUGGUGGUAGUGGGCGUGUUUGUUGUUGUCGUACGGUGAGUUGUUGUUGCAAUUGUUGUGGUGGGGCGACUGGUGGUCAUGGGAGUCAUGGUGGGAGUACUGGUUGUAGUCAUGGGAUCACAGAUUUCAUGAGAUGAACUGCCUGUUACAGGUGAUCCAGGAUAGUAACAAGCAGUUAUGGAAUGCCUAUACACCAAAUGUUCUGGGCACUUUUGGAUGUAGGUGCGUCCCCAAACACAGUUGUAAUACGAGUGCUGAUCAUUGGGGUUGGGGUACAGCCCAUCUGGUCUUCCAUAACAAGGGUUUCCAUGUGAUGUUUUGUAAACUCGAAGAUUUCUCGCAAAGCCAGGUACACCUAAAAUAAUCAUUUUCAGAUAUGUAUUAAUUCGCUGUAUAAACGUAAUAAAAAGAGAAUACAACAAAGAUGAUGGCAUUGAAUCGUAUAUAUACACUUAAAACUACUAAUCUACUACUUCACUUAGUUAAAGACAUAAUUGAUUUAUUAGUGAUUUUGUUUAUUAGGAUUUUUUACAUGUCAUGAACUUACCCAAGCUGGCGAUGAUCAAACAGAGACCUUGAAAGUGACACACUUGUUAGUACUGGGUUCAAACUAAGAUUAACAGGGGCCUGUGCAAAGAAGUUUUUGGUUAUCUGAUUUGACCUUAACAAGCGCAAUCCUGCCAAGCAGCCCCAUGAAGCUGGUUAUCAACUUUGUAAAUCAAACCAGGGUUUCUGAUUUCAUGAUGAGCGUGUUCACUUAAAACAGGAAGUGUUUACAGCAUCACAAAAUUGAAAAAGUCUGUCAUCAGCAGAGCGCUGCAAUCCACAAACAAAAAAUAAACUGUACCAUCGGACAAAUAAGUAGAAAGUAAAGAAGUGCUUCAGGCUGAAGUAACAUUGUUUUCAAUUACAAAUGAGGAAAUAAACGCUGGUAAAAAAAGAACCUCACUAUGUUAAUUAGUAAAUUAACAGAUAUACACCCUCAGCGCUUCCCAAUAGACCCAUGUAAAUACACUUAGAUCUAUCGUGCCCUAGAUGAAGCAGUGUUCUAAAAAAAAUCGGUUAAUUUAUACAUUCACACACUUCCGUUUUCUUGCCAGCUGUCUUUUUAUGCAUGUGUCUAGUGAAACUGUGUUACUUUUAGUCUGAAUUAUAACGUUCAUAACUUUUUCUUAAUAGUAUAAUAUUCAUGUAUUAUAUGUUGUAUAGAAAACAUUCCUUUCAAUUUACACAAAUGAAAGGCAUAAAACUAAGGAAAAAUUGUUACAAAAUUCCACUAUCCACUAAGCAAUUAGAUAUUGGGCAAGUUAAAGCCAAGGAGCUUGAUGAUGAACAAUUUGAACAUUUACUCCAUCGGUGUGCUUACCUGCAGUUAGAGUGAGCUUCCACAUUUUGACACAGUUUGGAUAUGCUGAAAGAGAAGCAUGUGAUUAAUAUGCAAUGUGAAAAAUAUAAACACAAUGAUUUAUUUGACAAAUCCUCAUCCUGAGCAAUUCUCAACAAAGAUAUUUAAGGAUAUUCUCACAUAGAUUGACCAUUAAUUUGUAUAAUGAUGUGACUAGAAUUUAGAGAAAAAUGUACAAUACAACUAUGAAACACCAAAUGUUUAGCUGUAGAGCAGGAAGGAGAUGCUGGUGCUCAGCACAAACCACACAUACAGUAUCCCUGCGUUGUAUACAGGUACAGUUUAGCAAUGUAGACAGCACAGGAAGGAAAUAAGUUAAAAGGGGAUGGUUAGGAUCAAAGUAAAAGGUAUACUUACAAGUGGAGAAAGAAGCAUACACUGUCUCUGAUGUGUCAAGUGACUGACAGAUGACUUGCAGCGAUGCUUUAUAUGGUCGAGGAGAAGACAAGGUGUGGCAAAUAUGUUGGUCACAAUUUUUAGAUUAUGCAGCUGUACAAAAGCCAAUUAUACAGGAAUCUUUUUGAAAGAGACACUCAACUAAGUUAGCAAUUAUGGCCAGCUCUGGUUUGGCAUCUGUGUGCCUCCUAGAUACCUCCCUUUUUGAAAUUUUCUUUGCGUGUUCAACUAAUGAGAAACAACAGAAAUUGAGACCCAUCAGACCAGGCAACGUUUUUCCACUCUUAUAACCAGGGUUCAUACACAUUUCGACCAAUGGAUUUCCAUGACUUCUCUUUCCAAACUACUUAAGAAAUAAAAGUAAAAGUAAUGUAAGGGAAAAGGUCCAUUAAGGACAGACUUGUGUCCUUAAUGCACUUUUAACCUCUGCCUUUAAUUAAACAAUUUAAAUAAGCUUUUAAUUUAUAAUUUUAUUUGCUGUUUUUAAUUUUCUUUUAAUUCCUGCAUUUUAUUUCACUUGUUAUGAUGUGAAGCACUUUGAGACUGCCUUGUGUAUGAAAAGCGCUAUACAAAUAAACUUGCCUUGCCUUGAAAAUGAAGAAUGUAUAAUUAAACAGUGAUUAAAAAGUUCCCAAACAAGAACACACCCAAUUUCAAUAAUUAACUACGGGUGUGGGCCCAGUUGUAAAACUUCCUGGGUCAUCAGGGUUGACGUAAGGCCCAUCGACCUUGCCAAGAAAGCAGUCAUUCAGACAGAUGGCGGAUGUUGUGGUAGUUGUAGUGGCUGUAUGUGUUGUGCAGAGGUGUCACGUAACUAAGUACAAAUACUUUGUUACCUUACUUAAGUAGAAAUUUGGGUUAGUAUUUGUUUUUCAGAUGACUUUUUACUUUUACUCCUUACACUUUCACGCAAAUAUCUAUAUUUUCUACUCCUUACAUUUUAAAAAUAGCCUAAUUUCAUUUAGGCUUGUUUUCAUUCCAGCUUGUCGUCAUUCAAAAACACACACAAAAAAAACCUAACCAGAAAAAUCGCGCCAUACGGAUAAAGUGAAUUUCAUUGUGAUUGUAUGAGAAGUAUAAACAUAUACUAUUCAGACACCCUAUUGGUUUUCUCCGCGAUGCACCUGCAGAUGACACAAAUCAGAGUGACGCCGGGUGCGAAAAGUGGUCGGUGGAAGGUUCCUUUUUCUGAACAGCACAAGCCAAUCUCAGUUGGGUAUUUAGCGACAUACAAAUUCCAUGUGACGUUUAAUGAGUUUCUUCAUGACCAUGGGUUGCCGUAAAUGUUUUUUUCUUACUUUAUUGAGAAUCUGGCACAACACAGCGACUUACAAGUACCGCAGUCUUCAAUAAAGUGAUGCAUGUCUUAAUGCAAGGCUUUAGAAAUGAACACAAAGGGAUUCUGUAUUUGCUCACAUAGCCUGGGAAAACGGGUUAUUUGGCCAAUGUUUUGAUAACCACCCGCUGCCAGAUCAAUGUUUCCCACCAUUAUCACAUCACAUUACGUUGCAUUGCAUGUCAUUUAGCUGACGCUUUUAUCCAAAGCGACUUACAAUAAGUGCAUUCAACCAUAGGGUACAAACUCAGAAGAGCAAGAAACAGGAAAGUGCAAUUUGCUCAAAUAAGCCAAUUUACAAUUUGCUAUAGAUAAGUGGCGUUAUAAGUACAAUUUAUGUGUUACAAUUUGUUAGUCUUUUAGGCAAGGCAAGGCAGACUCAAAGUGCUUCACAUCAUAACAUUUCAUACAAUAAAGUGACAAUUAAAAACAGCAAAUAAAAUUAUAAAUUAAAAGCUUAUUUAAAUUGUUUAAUUAAAGGCAGAGGUUAAAAGUGCAUUAAGGACACAAGUCUGUCCUUAAUGGACCUUUUCCCACACA
ensembl:lncRNA